GGGGAGGUAGUGACAAAAAAUAACGAUACGGGACUCAUCCGAGGCCCCGUAAUCGGAAUGAGAACACCCUAAAUCCUAUAACGAGGAUCCAUUGGAGGGAAAGUCUGGUGCCAGCAGCCGCGGUAAUUCCAGCUCCAAUAGCGUAUAUUAAAGUUGUUGCGGUUAAAAAGCUCGUAGUUGGUUCUGCGUGCCACGCUGUCGGUUCACCGCCUGCCGGUGCAACUGGCAUGCCGUGGCAUGUCCUGUCGGUGGCUGAUAGGCUUCACGUCGUACACCAUGCAGUUCAUGCUGUGUGGGUUAGUGCGCCGUGUUGUCCUUGUAAGCCGGCUCAAUCCUACCGCGGUGCUCUUUACCGAGUGUCGAGGUAGGCCGACACUGUUUACUUUGAACAAAUUAGAGUGCUUAAAGCAGGCUCUUAAAUCAGCCUGAAUAGUGGUGCAUGGAAUAAUGGAACAGGACCUUGGUUCUAUUUUGUUGGUUUUAGGAAUCCAAGGUAAUGAUCAAUAAGGACAGGCGGGGGCAUUCGUAUUGCGACGUUAGAGGUGAAAUUCUUGGAUCGUCGCAAGACGCACUAGAGCGAAAGCAUUUGCCAAGUAUGUCCUAAUUGAUCAAGAACGAAAGUUAGAGGUCCGAAGGCGAUCAGAUACCGCCCUAGUUCUAACA
rnacentral:rRNA from 1 species